AUUGAACGCUGGCGGCAGGCCUAACACAUGCAAGUCGAACGGUAACAGGAAGAAGCUUGCUUCUUUGCUGACGAGUGGCGGACGGGUGAGUAAUGUCUGGGAAACUGCCUGAUGGAGGGGGAUAACUACUGGAAACGGUAGCUAAUACCGCAUAACGUCGCAAGACCAAAGAGGGGGACCUUCGGGCCUCUUGCCAUCGGAUUUGCCCAGAUGGGAUUAGGUAGUAGGUGGGGUAACGGCUCACCUAGGCGACGAUCCCUAGCUGGUCUGAGAGGAUGACCAGCCACACUGGAACUGAGACACGGUCCAGACUCCUACGGGAGGCAGCAGUGGGGAAUAUUGCACAAUGGGCGCAAGCCUGAUGCAGCCAUGCCGCGUGUAUGAAGAAGGCCUUCGGGUUGUAAAGUACUUUCAGCGGGGAGGAAGGGAGUAAAGUUAAUACCUUUGCUCAUUGACGUUACCCGCAGAAGAAGCACCGGCUAACUCCGUG
rnacentral:rRNA from 1 species